CCAACGACAAAAUGUCAGCUACACAGGCACGUGUGACUAUUAUAUGAUAAAAUUCAUAAUGAUCAACAAGUUCUGAAAACUUGUAUCACUUACAAUAAAUAUUAUCCAGGCUAGAUAAUAAACCAAGGCAUCAUUCAAGCAAAGGCUGUAGAGACGAAAAUCUCUUUUACUGAAUCAUAUGCUGUGUCAUUUGAUAUAAUUUUUUAUUUACACAAAUGCAUAUAAAUAACGAUUUUUAGAUUUUCACGAGGUUGUUAUCAGGAUGUGAUAUUCGCAUAUCAUCCAUGGAUGGAGGCGUAAAAGGUUAUAAAAACAGACUAUUAUAAGAAAUAACAAACAUUUUCAUAAACAAUGAUGGCAAUGCAAUACCAGUCUAUAUAUAGAUGAUACUUUUGUUUUGCAUCUAUGGCUUUUGCGUAGCGGAACACAUUGUUAUAGGACAUGUUGACUCGACAAUCAUAUUAAACUGCACAUUAGACGGAACCUUUACAUGGUACGGUCCUGCCAAAAAUCCCCCUCCAUCUGAAGCGGUUUAUUCCUGGAAGAACCAAUUAAAUGCUUCCGCUAUUCCGGAUAACUUGAGAUCAAGAUUGUCAGUAGAAGGCGACUUUAAUCAUAGGAGACAACCAAAAAAAUCGAGAAACUACAGGUGACAGACCAAGGACUGUACAUGUGCGAACUAAGAGGUCCAGUCGACAAAUUAAGGUUGAAAGUAAUAGAUAGCACAUAGAUUUCAGAAGGUGGAAGAUGACGG